GAGAGGGGCUAGGGAGAGAGAGAGAGUGAGAGAGAGAGAGAGAGAGAGAGAGAGAGAGAGAGAGGGGCUAGGGAGAGAACCCAUAUUUGUAUUUCCAUAGGAGCUAGAUCAGAGCUAAAGUUGAAAGGGAGAAUAGGGUGGAAGGAGGAAUGCAGGUAGAAGGGAUAAAAUGAGAGUGAGAUACAGAGGGCAAGGUGUUAUCCAUCUUCUCUGUCCUCUCCUUGUCUUUUCUUCUCUCUCCCAGCCCAACCGCUUACAUUUUUUUUAAAAUCCCUUCAGGUUCGAAGAAGGGAGAAUAGAGGAACAUCCAGACUCAUCACGUGUUAAAUCAUGCUUCCUUUUAGUUCCUGUAUCCCUCAUUUGUAACUUUUAUGUACAAACACUGAUAUUUCAUUUCCUGCCUCCCCUUUAGGUGUGGAUCAUACAAACCUGGAUCAGAAUCGAAACUUUGAGGCCAUGGUCAGUUUUGACCUGCGUGGCUCACACGGCCUUUCCCGUGACCCCAUGCCACUCAGAGACGAGGAGAACGGGUAUCGAUCUUCUGGACAGCACAGUGACGGACUCCGUGGAGGCCACAUCUCUGACCUUCAACAACGACUUCAUUGAUGUGUACGUGUGCUGCUGAGGCCCGCGGGACGACGGACAGGAAAUGGCCGGGGACUCUCACACAGAAAGCACUGAGGCUGGGCAAGGGGCGAGGUAGGCAGCAUCUUUGUGUGGGCGUCUGGUAAUGGUGGGUUGGUGAACGAUCACUGUGGAGCAGACGGCUAUAUCAACAGAGUCUACAGCAUUGCCGUUGGGGCUGUCACUCACACGGGCAAGCCCGCCUUUUUAGGUGAGCCCUGCCCUGCCGUUAUGGCUGUCACUCUAACUGGAGCCAGUUUGGGAAACACACUUCCCCUAUCCUGACUUGACAUGGAGGGAUGUGCAGCAUCUGAUCGCCAUGACAGCCAAGGUCCCCGACCCCAAAGAGCCAGGAUGGAGUGUCAACGGAGCAGGGUACCACAUCCACGACAGAUAUUAGUUACACACACGGUGUAAACACACCACACACAUCAUGUAUUCCACAUAUACUGCACUGUAGCCAGUGUUGGGAUUAGUUACUUGGGGAAAGUAAUGUAUUACAUAUUACUCAUUGCGUUUAACAAAAGUAACGUGUUACUUAACAA